UUUUGAAGUUAGAAGCUUCUUGAUUUAUUUCUUU
rnacentral:tRNA from 1 species